GCAGUAUGAAAUGUAAAGUUAUAGAAGUUCUUAACUCACGAAUAAGGGUCACUCAGAUAACAUUAACUUACUUCCUUGUCAAUUUUUGGAUUUCCUUUGACUUUGUUCAAACUGAUUUUAGGUCUUCUUCCUCUCUGCAGGACAGUGAGCUGGACAACAUUGCUUCAUUAUUUCAGCUGCUUGUGAAGGAGGGGGGAGGGGCCAAGAUGGCCGAAUAGAAACAGCUCUGGUCUACAGCUCCCAGCGUGAGCAACUCAGAAGAUGGGUGAUUUCUGCAUUUGCAACUGAGGUACCGGGUUCAUCUCACUAGGGAGUGCCAGACAGUGGGCGCAGGUCACUGGGUGCGCGUACCGUGUGCGAGCCGAAGCAGGGCGAGGCAUUGCCUCACUUGGGAAGCACAAAGGGUCAGGGAGUUCCCUUUCUGAGUCAAAGAAAGGGGUGACGGAGGGCACCUGGAAAAUCGGGUCACUCCCACCCGAAUACUGCGCUUUUCCGACGGGCUUAAAAAACGGCGCACCACGAGAUUAUAUCCCGCACCUGGCACGGAGGGUCCUACGCCCACGGAGUCUUGCUGAUUGCUAGCACAGCAGUCUGAGAUCAAACUGCAAGGUGGCAGCGAGGCUGGGGGAGGGGCGCCCGCCAUCGCCCAGGCUUGAUUAGGUAAACAAAGCAGCCGGGAAGCUCCAACUGGGUGGAGCACACCACAGCUCAAGGAGGCCUGCCUCUGUAGGCUCCACCUCUGGGGGCAGGGCACAGACAAACAAAAAGACAGCAGUAACCUCUGCAGACUUAAAUGUCCCUGUCUGACAGCUUUGAAGAGAGCAGUGGUUCUCCCAGCACCCAGCUGGAGAUCUGAGAACGGGCAGACUGCCUCCUCAAGUGGGUCCCUGACCCCUGACCCCUGAGCAGCCUAACUGGGAGGCACCCCCCAGCAGGAGCACACUGACACCUCACACGGCAGGAUAUUCCAACAGACCUGCAGCUGAGGGUCCUGUCUGUUAGAAGGAAAACUAACUAACAGAAAGGACAUCCACACCAAAAGCCCACCUGUACAUCACCAUCAUCAAAGACCAAAAGUAGAUAAAACCACAAAGAUGGGGAAAAAACAGAACAGAAAAACUGGAAACUCUAAAAAGC
rnacentral:lncRNA from 1 species